rnacentral:rRNA from 1 species
UACGAGAGGCCCAAACGUUAUUCGGAAUUACUGGGCUUAAAGAGUCCGUAGGCGGCGCAGAAAGUAGGGUGUGAAAGCCCUCGGCUCAACCGAGGAAUUGCGCUCUAAACUACUGUGCUUGAGGAACCUAGAGGUGAGCGGAACUGAUGGUGGAGCGGUGAAAUGCGUUGAUAUCAUCAGGAACACCGGAGGCGAAGGCGGCUCACUGGACUGGUAUUGACGCUGAGGUGCGAAAGCGUGGGGAGCAAACAGG